rnacentral:rRNA from 1 species
GAUGAACGCUAGCGGCAGGCUUAAUACAUGCAAGUCAAGGGGGUAGCAAUACAACCGGCGCACGGGUGAAUAACGCGUACACAACAUACCAUAUACUGGAGUAUAGCUUUGGGAAACUGAAGGUAAUCCUCCAUAACAUUGCGAGAGGGCAUCUGAUUGCAAUUAAAGUUUCGGCGGUAUAUGAUUGGUGUGCGUUUGAUUAGCUAGUUGGUAGGGUAACGGCCUACCAAGGCGACGAUCAAUAGCUGGCGUGAGAGCGCGACCAGCCACACUGGAACUGAGACACGGUCCAGACUCCUACGGGAGGCAGCAGUAGGGAAUAUUGGACAAUGGAGGAAACUCUGAUCCAGCCAUGCCGCGUGAUAGAUGAAGGCCCUCUGGGUUGUAAAUAUCUUUUAUCUGGGAAGAAACACUCCUAAUUCUUAGGAACUUGACGGUACCAGAGGAAUAAGCACCGGCUAACUCCGUGCCAGCAGCCGCGGU